AGAGCGAACGCUGGCGGCAGGCUUAACACAUGCAAGUCGAGCGGGCGUAGCAAUACGUCAGCGGCAGACGGGUGAGUAACGCGUGGGAACGUACCUUUUGGUUCGGAACAACACAGGGAAACUUGUGCUAAUACCGGAUAAGCCCUUACGGGGAAAGAUUUAUCGCCGAAAGAUCGGCCCGCGUCUGAUUAGCUAGUUGGUGAGGUAAUGGCUCACCAAGGCGACGAUCAGUAGCUGGUCUGAGAGGAUGAUCAGCCACAUUGGGACUGAGACACGGCCCAAAACUCCUACGGGAGGCAGCAGUGGGGAAUAUUGGACAAUGGGCGCAAGCCUGAUCCAGCCAUGCCGCGUGAGUGAUGAAGGCCCUAGGGUUGUAAAGCUCUUUUGUGCGGGAAGAUAAUGACGGUACCGCAAGAAUAAGCCCCGGCUAACUUCGCGCCAGCAGCCGC
rnacentral:rRNA from 1 species